rnacentral:tRNA from 1 species
GGGUGCGUAGCUCAGAGGUAGAGCGCCUGCCUUACAAGCAGGAUGUCGGCGGUUCGAAACCGUCCGCGCCCACCA